CUUUCUUCUUCUUUUUUUUUAAAAAGUCAUUUUUAGAGAGAUAGUAAGGAAGAAUGAAACAUCAAUUGAUGGCCAGGCAUUUCUUAAGUUCAAGGACAGGGUCUGAUUCACUCUCUGCUCUGUCCCCAGCCCUGGGACAGUGCCAGGCGGCAGUCAGAGCUCAGUAUCGGUUGGAGGAAUAAGAUGGCCACCCAGGACCCUGGCGGAGACUAUUAUCACUCUUGGGCAACUUCUUGCCGGCUGGGGCUUCCAAGGAAGCAGAUUUCAAAACCAGCACACGGCUCCUGGACGUUCUUGGCUUCCUCUUCACAAGACACUUGGGAAAGAGGAGUGUUGUGAAAUUUUUAAUUUUAUUAUAUUACACAAAUAUCACAUGGAUACAAGUCAGCUUUCAAACAAUUCCAACGACAUGCUGUGUGGAAUAACAAGCGAAAGGCUUUCCCUUCCCGCGCGUCCCAUCCCAGUGGAAGAAGUUGAGAGUGUAUCCUUUUAUUCAGGCCUUUGAACAACGCACUUUCUUACAUGAACUCCUACAUAAGUAUUUAAUUAAAAAAACAUAAAUGAGAUCAUAACAUAGGUUUAUUUU